AUUGUAGGGUGUGUGACUGGUCAGUUUGAACAUAAAACAGGCACGGCUGUGUGAGAAGAUGGAACCAGUGGCCAGGAAGCUAGGAGUGUUUGACACCAGAAUACAUUUGAGGACAAAAUCAUAAAUUUAAAUGUCACAUUGACCAUUUAGUCUUACUGCUGCAGCGUAGUUGAAGAAAAUUCAGUUAUCUUCGAAGAGUUCAU
rnacentral:lncRNA from 1 species